GGCAGUAGCUCAGUGGUAGAGCAUCGGCUUCCCAAGCCGAGGGUCGCGGGUUCGAACCCCGUUUGCC
rnacentral:tRNA from 1 species